UACAGAGGGUGGCAAGCGUUAAUCGGAAUUACUGGGCGUAAAGCGUGCGUAGACGGUCAUGUAAGUCAGAUGUGAAAGCCCCGGGCUCAACCUGGGAAUUGCAUUUGAGACUGCAUAGCUAGGGUGCGGAAGAGGGAAGCGGGAAUUUCCGGUGUAGCGGUGAAAUGCGUAGAUAUGACAUAGAACACCAAUUGCGAAGGCAGCUUACUACACAAUGAUUGA
rnacentral:rRNA from 1 species